rnacentral:rRNA from 1 species
GAUGAACGCUGGCGGCGUGCCUAAUACAUGCAAGUCGAGCGAACGGACGAGAAGCUUGCUUCUCUGAUGUUAGCGGCGGACGGGUGAGUAACACGUGGAUAACCUACCUAUAAGACUGGGAUAACUUCGGGAAACCGGAGCUAAUACCGGAUAAUAUUUUGAACCGCAUGGCUCAAAAGUGAAAGACGGUCUUGCUGUCACUUAUAGAUGGAUCCGCGCUGCAUUAGCUAGUUGGUAAGGUAACGGCUUACCAAGGCAACGAUGCAUAGCCGACCUGAGAGGUUGAACGGCCACACUGGAACUGAGACACGGUCCAGACUCCUACGGGAGGCAGCAGUAGGGAAUCUUCCGCAAUGGGGGAAAGCCUGACGGAGCAACGCCGCGUGAGUGAUGAAGGUCUUCGGAUCGUAAAACUCUGUUAUUAGGGAAGAACAUAUGUGUAAGUAACUGUGCACAUCUUGACGGUACCUAAUCAGAAAGCCACGGCUAACUACGUG